rnacentral:rRNA from 1 species
GAAUUCGCCCUUAGAGUUUGAUCCUGGCUCAGGAUGAACGCUAGCGGCAGGCUUAACACAUGCAAGUCGAGGGGCAGCAUGUCCAGCAAUGGAUGAUGGCGACCGGCGGAAGGGUGCGUAACGCGUGAGCAACAUGCCCUAUACAGGGAGAUACACCAGGGAAACUUGGUCUAAUAUCCCAUAGCAUUCAUUGAAGGCAUCUUUAAUGAAUUAAAGCUUCGGUGGUAUAGGAUUGGCUCGCGUGACAUUAGCCAGAUGGUGAGGUAACGGCUCACCAUAGCAAUGAUGUCUAGGGGUUUUGAGAGGAAGGCCCCCCACACUGGGACUGAGACACUGCCCAGACUCCUACGGGAGGCUGCAGUCGAGAAUCUUCCGCAAUGGGCGCAAGCCUGACGGAGCAAUGCCGCGUGAGGGAUGAAGGCCUUCGGGUUGUAAACCUCUGUCACCUGGGACGAAAUCAAUGACGGUACCAGGAAAGGAAGCCACGGCUAACCACGUGCCAGCAGCCGCGGUAACACGUGGGUGGCGAGCGUUAUUCGGAUUUACUGGGCGUAAAGGGUCCGCAGGGGGCCUGCCACGCCCGCCGUGAAAUUUCAGGGCUCAACCCUGAACGUGCGGCGGGUACGGGCGGGCUGGAGUGCAGGAUGGGCAGACGGAAUUCCAGGUGUAGCGGUGGAAUGCGUAGAUAUCUGGAAGAACACCGAUGGCGAAGGCGGUCUGCUGGCCUGCAACUGACCCUCAGGGACGAGAGCGUGGGGAGCAAACAGGAUUAGAUACCCUGGUAGUCCACGCUGUAAACGAUGAGUGCUAGGUGUCGGGGGUCAAACCUCGGUGCCGGAGUUAACGCAUUAAGCACUCCGCCUGGGGAGUACGUACGCAAGUAUGAAACUCAAAGGAAUUGACGGGCACCCGCACAAGCGGUGGAGCAUGCUGUUUAAUUCGACACUACGCGAAGAACCUUACCUAGAUUUGACAUCCCGGGCAAAGCUAUAGAAAUAUAGUGGAGGGUAUCCCGGUGACAGAUGGUGCAUGGUUGUCGUCAGCUCGUGUCGUGAGAUGUUUGGUUAAGUCCAACAACGAGCGCAACCCUCGUCUUUAGUUGCUAACAUUUAGUUGAGAACUCUAAAGAUACUGCCGGUGUAAACUGGAGGAAGGUGGGGAGGACGUCAAAUCAUCAUGCCUCUUACAUCUAGGGCUACAGGCGUGCUACAAUGGCUGGUACAACGAGUCGCAACACGGCAACGUGAAGCUAAUCUCUGAAAGCCAGUCCCAGUUCGGAUUGGAGUCUGCAACUCGACUCCAUGAAGUUGGAAUCGCUAGUAAUCGCGAAUCAGAAUGUCGCGGUGAAUACGUUCUCGGGUGUUGUACUCACCGCCCGUCAAG